AACGAACGCUGGCGGCAUGCCUAACACAUGCAAGUCGAACGAAGGCUUCGGCCUUAGUGGCGCACGGGUGCGUAACGCGUGGGAAUCUGCCCUUGGGUUCGGAAUAACUCGCCGAAAGGCGUGCCAAUACCGGAUGAUGUCGAAAGACCAAAGAUUUAUCGCCUGAGGAUGAGCCCGCGUCGGAUUAGCUAGUUGGUGGGGUAAAGGCCUACCAAGGCGACGAUCCGUAGCUGGUCUGAGAGGAUGAUCAGCCACACUGGGACUGAGACACGGCCCAGACUCCUACGGGAGGCAGCAGUGGGGAAUAUUGGACAAUGGGCGAAAGCCUGAUCCAGCAAUGCCGCGUGAGUGAUGAAGGCCCUAGGGUUGUAAAGCUCUUUUACCCGGGAUGAUAAUGACAGUACCGGGAGAAUAAGCCCCGGCUAACCCCGUGCCAGCCGCCGCGGUAAAAC
rnacentral:rRNA from 1 species